UCAUAGCUCAGUGGUAGAGCAUCUGCUUUGCAUGCGGAAGGUUCAUGGUUCAAUCCCCAGUAUCUGAA